UACAGAGGUCUCAAGCGUUGUUCGGAUUCAUUGGGCGUAAAGGGUGCGUAGGCGGCGCGGUAAGUCGGGGGUGAAAUCUCGGAGCUUAACUCCGAAACUGCAUUCGAUACUGCCGUGCUUGAGGACUGGAGAGGAGACUGGAAUUUACGGUGUAGCGGUGAAAUGCGUAGAUAUCGUAAGGAAGACCAGUGGCGAAGGCGGGUCUCUGGACAGUUCCUGACGCUGAGGAGCGAAAGCGUGGGGAGCGAACAGG
rnacentral:rRNA from 1 species